rnacentral:lncRNA from 1 species
UUUUUUGAUUUAUCAGGUGAUUGAAGAAGCUACCUAUUUUGAUUGUGAUCCCAUCUUCUUGACUUUAUGGUGCCCUGCUUCUUUGGAGUGUUUUUCGAUGGUCUGGUGUCCGCGGAGGCUGAAGGAGGAGAAACUGGCUAGCGAACACGAAGUCCAGAAUGAACACCUUGUGGAGCCAUCCUCUCCAAGCGAUGCCUUCUAUGGCCGAGGAGAAGAUAGAUUCAU